rnacentral:sRNA from 1 species
GCCAGGUGCGGGGGUGCACACCUGUGAUCUCGGCAGCUCGGGAGGCUGAGGCAGGAGGAUCCUGAGUUCUGGCUUAGCCUCAGCAACUUAGCAAGGCCCCAAGCAUCUUAGUGAGACCCUGUCUCUA